CAGUAGCCGCGGGAAUACGGAGGAUCCAAGCGUUAUCCGGAUUUAUUGGGUUUAAAGGGUGCGUAGGUGGCCUGUUAAGUCAGGGGUGAAAGACGGUAGCUUAACUAUCGCAGUGCCCUUGAUACUGAUGGGCUUGAAUGAACUAGAGGUAGGCGGAAUGUGACAAGUAGCGGUGAAAUGCAUAGAUAUGUCACAGAACACCGAUUGCGAAGGCAGCUUACUAUGGUUUUAUUGACACUGAGGCACGAAAGCGUGGGGAUCAAACAGGAUUAGAUACCCCAGUAGUCCCUGUCUCUUAUAC
rnacentral:rRNA from 1 species